UACAGAGGUCUCAAGCGUUGUUCGGAUUCAUUGGGCGUAAAGGGCGCGUAGGCUGCGGGGCAAGUCGGGUGUGAAAUCUCAGAGCUCAACUCUGAAACUGCACUCGAUACUGCUUUGCUCGAGGACUGGAGAGGAGAUUGGAAUUCACGGUGUAGCAGUGAAAUGCGUAGAUAUCAAGAGGAACACCUGAGGUGAAGACGGGUUGCUGGGCCAACACUGACGCUGAGGCGCGAAAGCCAGGGGAGCAAACGGG
rnacentral:rRNA from 1 species